rnacentral:rRNA from 1 species
ACUUAAAUUGAAGAGUUUGAUCAUGGCUCAGAUUGAACGCUGGCGGCAGGCCUAACACAUGCAAGUCGAGCGGUAGCACAGAGAGCUUGCUCUCGGGUGACGAGCGGCGGACGGGUGAGUAAUGUCUGGGAAACUGCCUGAUGGAGGGGGAUAACUACUGGAAACGGUAGCUAAUACCGCAUAACGUCGCAAGACCAAAGUGGGGGACCUUCGGGCCUCAUGCCAUCAGAUGUGCCCAGAUGGGAUUAGCUAGUAGGUGAGGUAACGGCUCACCUAGGCGACGAUCCCUAGCUGGUCUGAGAGGAUGACCAGCCACACUGGAACUGAGACACGGUCCAGACUCCUACGGGAGGCAGCAGUGGGGAAUAUUGCACAAUGGGCGCAAGCCUGAUGCAGCCAUGCCGCGUGUGUGAAGAAGGCCUUCGGGUUGUAAAGCACUUUCAGCGGGGAGGAAGGCGGUGAGGUUAAUAACCUCAUCGAUUGACGUUACCCGCAGAAGAAGCACCGGCUAACUCCGUGCCAGCAGCCGCGGUAAUACGGAGGGUGCAAGCGUUAAUCGGAAUUACUGGGCGUAAAGCGCACGCAGGCGGUCUGUCAAGUCGGAUGUGAAAUCCCCGGGCUCAACCUGGGAACUGCAUUCGAAACUGGCAGGCUAGAGUCUUGUAGAGGGGGGUAGAAUUCCAGGUGUAGCGGUGAAAUGCGUAGAGAUCUGGAGGAAUACCGGUGGCGAAGGCGGCCCCCUGGACAAAGACUGACGCUCAGGUGCGAAAGCGUGGGGAGCAAACAGGAUUAGAUACCCUGGUAGUCCACGCCGUAAACGAUGUCGAUUUGGAGGUUGUGCCCUUGAGGCGUGGCUUCCGGAGCUAACGCGUUAAAUCGACCGCCUGGGGAGUACGGCCGCAAGGUUAAAACUCAAAUGAAUUGACGGGGGCCCGCACAAGCGGUGGAGCAUGUGGUUUAAUUCGAUGCAACGCGAAGAACCUUACCUGGUCUUGACAUCCACAGAACUUUCCAGAGAUGGAUUGGUGCCUUCGGGAACUGUGAGACAGGUGCUGCAUGGCUGUCGUCAGCUCGUGUUGUGAAAUGUUGGGUUAAGUCCCGCAACGAGCGCAACCCUUAUCCUUUGUUGCCAGCGGUCCGGCCGGGAACUCAAAGGAGACUGCCAGUGAUAAACUGGAGGAAGGUGGGGAUGACGUCAAGUCAUCAUGGCCCUUACGACCAGGGCUACACACGUGCUACAAUGGCAUAUACAAAGAGAAGCGACCUCGCGAGAGCAAGCGGACCUCAUAAAGUAUGUCGUAGUCCGGAUUGGAGUCUGCAACUCGACUCCAUGAAGUCGGAAUCGCUAGUAAUCGUAGAUCAGAAUGCUACGGUGAAUACGUUCCCGGGCCUUGUACACACCGCCCGUCACACCAUGGGAGUGGGUUGCAAAAGAAGUAGGUAGCUUAACCUUCGGGAGGGCGCUUACCACUUUGUGAUUCAUGACUGGGGUGAAGUCGUAACAAGGUAACCGUAGGGGAACCUGCGGUUGGAUCACCUCCUUACCUUAAAGAA